UUUUUUCAUAUUUUACCUCGUCUCGUGCCCCCGCAGACAGGGAGAGAGCACGCGCGCUCACGCCUCCUCCUCGGCCCUCCUGCGCUCGAGGCUCCAGCGCUGCCACGUAAUCUCGCACGAGCACCCGCUCACUCACUCAAAACCUCCGGGAACCGAGACAGCGACUGCGGAAGAUUAGAAAAACAGUGCACGAAAGCCCUCCGGCGGGUGUAGCGGAGCGCAGACUGAAGCGGAACGUGCAUUUUGGUUUUUCAUCUGGGAUCGCUGGUGACCCGCUGUGUGGAAACACACUGAGCCAUGCGGCAGUUGAAGGGCAAGCCCAAGAAGGAGUCUUGGAAGGACAAAAAGGAGCGCAAGCAGGCCAUGCAGGAGGCACGGGAGCAGGUGACGACGGUCGUUCUCCCGACGCUCGUCGUGCUCGUGCUACUCAUCGUCCUCUUCGUCUACGUGGCCACAAGACCUGGAGCCAUCGAGUAAAGAGACUCCAAACAGCCAAAUCUCCCUGGUCCUCGUCUUUCUCUUUCAUUUACCCUCGUUCCUUCCCAAUGUAUGAACUACACACAAUCAUAAGUAUGGAUGGAUUGAUAAAGGAAUGGGUUUCAGUGCCAUUUUUGGAUUGUGUUAAAGAAGGAGUCUUCCGUUUGGGCUUCUGACAGCGCGCCUCUCCCAGCCACCAGCAUUCGUGUCUGUGGCGGCCAUGUUGGCUCCAAGUGCAUUCACAGGGUUCUAGUUUCAUGCCAAAGCACCUGAGACACAGCAGACUUGGACUGACCCAGGAAGUGGGCCAGAUCUGAUGCUUCUGUGCUCAGUACAAAUGAGAAGUGACUUUAGUAUUGCAUAUGUCUGUAGCAUGCAAGCUUAUACACACACACACACACACAGUUUCACAAAUGAACAAUGAUGUGAUUAAUGACUGAAGAGAAUGUUACCCAGAAUGUAUUUUUCUGAAUGCUCUACCGAAUGCCUCUUAACAAGCAGUUGCUGAUGUUUGUGGUUGAAGUGUGUGUGUGUGUGUGUGUGAGCAGAUGCACCAUGGGGUGCAUGUUUUUAUAAUACAUCUGUGAUAUACAAUCCCGGCGGAAAACAUGCUCUUAUUUUAAAAUGUAUUCCAGCAGGACUUGGAUCUGAAAAUGUGCCUUAACUUUUAAUGACGUAACAGCGUUUGAAGUGUUAAUAAAGAUAUAGGAAGCCAUGCUGACUGCUUUAAGUAUGGUUUUAAUAAGA